UACAGAGGGGGCAAGCGUUGUUCGGAAUUACUGGGCGUAAAGGGCGCGUAGGCGGCCUGUUAAGUCGAACGUGAAAUCCCCGGGCUCAACCCGGGAACUGCGUCCGAUACUGGCAGGCUUGAAUUCGGGAGAGGGAUGUGGAAUUCCAGGUGUAGCGGUGAAAUGCGUAGAUAUCUGGAGGAACACCGGUGGCGAAGGCGGCAUCCUGGACCGGCAUUGACGCUGAGGAGCGAAAGCUAGGGGAGCAAACGGG
rnacentral:rRNA from 1 species